UACAGAGGUCCCGAGCGUUGUUCGGAUUCACUGGGCGUAAAGGGUGCGUAGGUGGCAUAGAAAGUUUGAUGUGAAAGCUCAGGGCUUAACCCUGAAAUGGCAUUGAAUACUGCUGUGCUUGAGGUUUGGAGGGGGGACUGGAAUUCUUGGUGUAGCAGUGAAAUGCGUAGAUAUCAAGAGGAACACCAGUGGCGAAGGCGAGUCCCUGGACAACACCUGACACUGAGGCACGAAAGCUAGGGGAGCAAACAGG
rnacentral:rRNA from 1 species